CCUACGGGGGGCAGCAGUGAGGAAUAUUGGUCAAUGGACGAGAGUCUGAACCAGCCAAGUAGCGUGAAGGAUGACUGCCCUAUGGGUUGUAAACUUCUUUUAUAUGGGAAUAAAAUGUUCCACGUGUGGGUUUUUGUAUGUACCUUAUGAAAAAGGAUCGGCUAACUCCGUGCCAGCAGCCGCGGUAAUACGGAGGAUGCGAGCGUUAUCCGGAUUUAUUGGGUUUAAAGGGAGCGUAGGUGGAUUGUUAAGUCAGUUGUUAAAGUUUGGGGCUCAACCCGAAAAGUGCAGUUGAAACUGGCAGUCUUGAGUACAGUAGAGGUAGGCGGAAUUCGUGGUGUAGCGGUGAAAUGCUUAGAUAUCACGAAGAACUCCGAUUGCGAAGGCAGCUCACCGGACUGGAACUGACACUGAGGCUCGAAAGUGUGGGUAUCAAACAGGAUUAGAUACCCUGGUAGUC
rnacentral:rRNA from 1 species